UUCCGGUUGAUCCUGCCGGAGGUCACUGCUAUUGGGAUUCGACUAAGCCAUGCGAGUCGAGAGGGUUCGGCCCUCGGCAGACGGCUCAGUAACACGUGGAUAAUCUGCCCUUAGGUGGAGGACAACCUCGGGAAACUGAGAAUAAUACUCCAUAGAUCUAGGAUGCUGGAAUGCACUUAGAUUGAAAGUUCCGGCGCCUAAGGAUGAGUCUGCGGACUAUCAGGUAGUAGUCAGGGUAAAGGCCUGACUAGCCUACGACGGAUACGGGUUGUGAGAGCAAUAACCCGGAGACGAUAUCUGAGACACGAUAUCGGGCCCUACGGGGCGCAGCAGGCGCGAAACCUUCACAAUGUGCGAAAGCGCGAUGAGGGGAUCCCAAGUGCUUGCUCGUAAGAGUAAGCUGUUUUUAUGUCUAAAACGCAUAGAGAGUAAGGGCUGGGUAAGACGGGUGCCAGCCGCCGCGGUAAUACCUGCAGCUCAAGUGGUGACCGCUAUUAUUGGGCCUAAAACAUUCGUAGCCGGUUUGGUAAAUGCCUGGGUAAAUCGUGUAGCUUAACUACACGAAUUCCGGGUAGACUGCCAAACUUGAGACCGGGAGAAGCUAGAGGUACUCCUUGGGUAGAGGUGAAAUUCUGUAAUCCUAGGGGGACCACCAGUGGCGAAGGCGUCUAGCUAGAACGGGUUUGACGGUGAGGAAUGAAGCCCUGGGGCGCAAACCGGAUUAGAUACCCGGGUAGUCCAGGGUGUAAACGCUGCUUGCUUGAUGUUAGUUGGGCUCCGAGCCCAAUUAGUGUCGGAGAGAAGUUGUUAAGCAAGCUGCCUGGGAAGUACGAUCGCAAGAUUGAAACUUAAAGGAAUUGGCGGGGGAGCACAGCAACGGGUGGAGCGUGCGGUUUA
rnacentral:rRNA from 1 species